GACGAACGCUGGCGGCGUGCUUAACACAUGCAAGUCGAACGGAAAGGCCCUGCUUGCAGGGUACUCGAGUGGCGAACGGGUGAGUAACACGUGGGUGAUCUGCCCUUCACUUCGGGAUAAGCCUGGGAAACUGGGUCUAAUACCGGAUAGGAGCCAUUUUUAGUGUGAUGGUUGGAAAGUUUUUUCGGUGUAGGAUGAGCUCGCGGCCUAUCAGCUUGUUGGUGGGGUAAUGGCCUACCAAGGCGGCGACGGGUAGCCGGCCUGAGAGGGUGGACGGCCACAUUGGGACUGAGAUACGGCCCAGACUCCUACGGGAGGCAGCAGUGGGGAAUAUUGAACAAAGGGCGCAAGCCUGAUGCAGCGACGCCGCGUGGGGGAUGACGGCCUUCGGGUUGUAAACGCCUUUCGCUAGGGACGAAGCUUUUUGUGACGGUACCUAGAGAAGAAGCACCGGCUAACUACGUG
rnacentral:rRNA from 1 species